rnacentral:snRNA from 1 species
GCACGUACCUGGCAGGGGAGAUACCAUGAUCACAAAGGUGGUUUUCCCAGGGUGAGGUUUAUCCAUUGCACUCCAGAUGUGCUAACCCCAGAUGUGCUAACCCUUGAUAUUUCCCCAAAUGUGGGAAACUCGACUGCAUAAUUUGUGGUAGUGGGGGACUGUAUUUGCCCUCUCCCCUG